AACGAACGCUGGCGGCGUGCCUAACACAUGCAAGUCGAGCGGGAAAGUUCCCUUCGGGGAGCGAGUACAGCGGCGAACGGGUGAGUAACACGUAGGUAACCUACCCUGGAGACUGGGAUAACCUGCCGAAAGGCGGGCUAAUACCAGAUAAGACCACGAGGGUUGCGGCCCUUGGGGCAAAAGAUGGCCUAUGCUUGCAAGCUAUCACUCCGGGAUGGGCCUGCGCGCCAUUAGCAGUUGGUGAGGUAACGGCUCACCAAGGCAGAGAUGGCUAGCUGGUCUGAGAGGAUGGCCAGCCACACUGGGACUGAGACACGGCCCAGACUCCUACGGGAGGCAGCAGUGGGGAAUAUUGCGCAAUGGGCGAAAGCCUGACGCAGCGACGCCGCGUGGGUGAUGAAGGCC
rnacentral:rRNA from 1 species